AAAAGGAGGACUUGUCUUCGAAUUCUCACUUUUUGUGGAGAACGCGAUACGUCCGGACGUGUGGUGCUUGCUAGUGUAUAGUGUCCAAUUCGGUAGAGUGUAAUAUAUCGCGCCGCGACGUUCCCCGUUAUCGGUUUAGGCGAUCCGUCGCAGCCGGAAUUGACUGCUGUGUUGAGUGUUGUUUCGUGAUUUAGUGGAGGCAUCUUUGAAGAUUUCGUUGCAGGUAGUGUUUCGUUUCAAAGUACUUCAGCUACCUGCGGUAUUCGAUAGUGACUGUGAAUAAAAUGCAAUCGGAAGGAACUUGGCUGGAAUGAAGAAUGCAACGGGUUUGUCUUCGGUUUCUUAUUACCGAUCCCGUAGAAAUCGCCAAGAAUCAAAAAAUCAAUUGAAGCAGCAAACUAAAUCUGCUGUCAGAAGCUGUCGAGUGCAGUCGGAAAUUUGUUUGUUUAGCGAUGAAAUCAACUAAAGAACGAAGCUGUUUAUGUGUUCUAUCUGUUCGCAGGAAUGUACAGGAAGUGAGAUAUCCUUGAAGAUGACAUAAAAUUCCUCUGCAUCGUUCGAGUGACAACGUCAAAAGUGAGAUUGUUUUGUGACGAAGAUUAGUUCUACACAGUGUUCGACUGUCCUAAUAAAUUAUUAAAUCGUCAAAAUUUGCCAACAUAAGAAGUGUAAUAAUCUACAAAAAUGCCCCCGAAGUGUGCUGUUUUUCUAUGAAGAAAUUGUAUGUGAUGUGUUGCUAAAUAUUAAAUGUGCGAGCAGGAGAAUCUAUAUUAGAGUGAUCCGUCAUCAGCGGGGGCAGUGUGAUGUGAAAGAGCAGGAAGGCGAUAUAUAAACAAAAGAAGCAAAAUAACACCGCAGCAUCGCCAGAUCUUCUUCGUCGUCGUCGUUGGUGUGCAGAAAUUACUCAACGAAUUUUGACAGUUCUCUAUAUGUAUGUACCUUCCAUAUAUAAAAAAUUCUACCGUAGUAAUCUAAAAACCAACGAAGAAAUCUAUCCUUGUCAUUAUACGAUGUUGAAAGCUAAUGCUAAUUUUGAGUCCCAGUGAAGAUCAGGUUAGUGGAUUGCGAUCUGCCUCUUCAACACCUUAGUUAUGCCGGAAUGAGCUCGGAGCAGUUGCUAAUACCAUCGUAAAUAUCGAUUUCUUGGGACGUUCUUGCUUGCGGGGUUGUACACACACACAUACAGGUGAGCCGGGAAGGAUCUUUUAGUGUAGGGAGAUUCAAUUUCUUUUUGGUAAGAUUUACCGUAUCGUUUAGACAGUGUUUGCAGAACUAAGCAGCUAAUUGGAAUUGGGGGGAGUGUUUACACAAUUUGGCAGGAAUUUUUGGGAUCACUUUACCAAACAAAUUAGAAAGAAACAUUAUAGCCUCUUUCCUUUCAGAGUAGAAUUCAGUAGGUAUCAUUUGCACACAAAAUAUCCAUGCCGCUGUACCGGAACGGGUAUUUUACGGUUCGAAAAUCGAGCUGAGUUAGCGUCCGAUGGAAUUGGGUAUGAAAAU